rnacentral:sRNA from 1 species
GGCUCUCCGGCCACCCGGCUGGCUCCCCCAGUGGCACUGUGGGGUUCGAGUGGUCUCAAGUCGGAAAUUGGUUGGGUUCAUUAGCGCCAUCCCAGCAAACAUCCAUAUCUAUGACACAGAGAAGAAGAUGGUAGAGAUCAACUUCCUGUGUGUCCACAAGAAGCUGCGUUCCAAGAGGGUGGCUCCAGUUCUGAUCCGAGAGAUCACCAGGCGGGUUCACCUGGAGGGCAUCUUCCAAGCAGUUUACACUGCCGGGGUGGUACUACCAAAGCCCGUUGGCACCUGCAGGUAUUGGCAUCGGUCCCUAAACCCACGGAAGCUGAUUGAAGUGAAGUUCUCCCACCUGAGCAGAAAUAUGACCAUGCAGCGCACCAUGAAGCUCUACCGACUGCCAGAGGCCAGUGCUGCCCCGGGUGGUGGGCAGGGGGCAGAGAGGGCAAGGAGAGCCUGGCUGUCAGCAGGAGAGAAGGGCUCUGGGUGGAGAGGGAGCUUUCUCCUACUGGAAAAGCGAACCAGCCCAUAGUCUUCAGAUUUCCUGGACUUUCUAUUUCUGUUAUCUGAAGCAGGAUUUUAUUUUAGUUUAACUUUCUCAGUUCCUCUGAGUCUGUGCCUGGACUAGCUUCUCUGCCAUCUGUUGAAAGGCUCAGAGAACACCUAUUCUCUGUAAUUUUAGCCUAAGUAAAGCAUAAAUAGAAUGAUGAA